GGUAGAGGGCACUAUGAGCAGAAAGGAAUGAUCCACCAUCGUGAUGGCAGACAGUUGUGGGUAGACCUGGUGUCUACAUGUGGAUUUGCUAGACGGGAUAUGACAUGACAUGGUUGUUGUGUGGUGANNNNNNNNNNAGGAAGUGUGAGGAGAGGGGUGAAAACGUUGUCGUGAGCAGACCGCCGUCGCCGUCAGCCUUUGGACCCAAAGUCGAGCAGUGAGGUGAUUGUGAUAGGGGAAGCGAGGAAGAGGGCACUGUGAGUAGAAAGGAAUGAUCUACCACAAUGAUGGCAAACGGUUGUGGGUAGACCCGGUGUCUACACGUGGAUUUGCUAGACGGGAUAUGACAUGACAUGGUUGUUGUGUGGUGAGGUGCCAUGGGAUAAGACAUGACACGGGAUAUAACUAACGUGUGGGUGUGUUUGGUUGUCGCCGACAGGGCACUCUGCUAUGUGUGCUGCCACAUAGUCUGAGCUCCCUUGUGUGGCUUAGUGGUGGUGAAAGGCUUGCACCUAUUGUUGGCGUGAUGAUGGCGACCUGGCACAUUCUUUCCUUCAUGAAGGCCUCAUCGUGGUGAUGUCCUUCUCCAUCGUGAUUGUCGGUUUGGCAAGGUUGCUUUGUGGUCAGGCUCGGUGGAUGUCAGAGCGGUGGGAAUGACUACAAUUUCAACAAUGUAACCAGCUGAUAUGUCCCUCUCCAAUGUGACGAUCCUAAUCAAAACAAG
rnacentral:lncRNA from 1 species